GAUGAACGCUGGCGGCGUGCCUAAUACAUGCAAGUCGAGCGAACGGACGAGAAGCUUGCUUCUCUGAUGUUAGCGGCGGACGGGUGAGUAACACGUGGAUAACCUACCUAUAAGACUGGGAUAACUUCGGGAAACCGUAGCUAAUACCGGAUAAUAUUUUGAACCGCAUGGUUCAAAAGUGAAAGACGGUCUUGCUGUCACUUAUAGAUGGAUCCGCGCUGCAUUAGCUAGUUGGUAAGGUAACGGCUUACCAAGGCAACGAUGCAUAGCCGACCUGAGAGGGUGAUCGGCCACACUGGAACUGAGACACGGUCCAGACUCCUACGGGAGGCAGCAGUAGGGAAUCUUCCGCAAUGGGCGAAAGCCUGACGGAGCAACGCCGCGUGAGUGAUGAAGGUCUUCGGAUCGUAAAACUCUGUUAUUAGGGAAGAACAUAUGUGUAAGUAACUGUGCACAUCUUGACGGUACCUAAUCAGAAAGCCACGGCUAACUACGUGCCAGCAGCCGCGGUAAUACGUAGGUGGCAAGCGUUAUCCGGAAUUAUUGGGCGUAAAGCGCGCGUAGGCGGUUUUUUAAGUCUGAUGUGAAAGCCCACGGCUCAACCGUGGAGGGUCAUUGGAAACUGGAAAACUUGAGUGCAGAAGAGGAAAGUGGAAUUCCAUGUGUAGCGGUGAAAUGCGCAGAGAUAUGGAGGAACACCAGUGGCGAAGGCGACUUUCUGGUCUGUAACUGACGCUGAUGUGCGAAAGCGUGGGGAUCAAACAGGAUUAGAUACCCUGGUAGUCCACGCCGUAAACGAUGAGUGCUAAGUGUUAGGGGGUUUCCGCCCCUUAGUGCUGCAGCUAACGCAUUAAGCACUCCGCCUGGGGAGUACGACCGCAAGGUUGAAACUCAAAGGAAUUGACGGGGACCCGCACAAGCGGUGGAGCAUGUGGUUUAAUUCGAAGCAACGCGUAGAACCUUACCAAAUCUUGACAUCCUUUGACAACUCUAGAGAUAGAGCCUUCCCCUUCGGGGGACAAAGUGACAGGUGGUGCAUGGUUGUCGUCAGCUCGUGUCGUGAGAUGUUGGGUUAAGUCCCGCAACGAGCGCAACCCUUAAGCUUAGUUGCCAUCAUUAAGUUGGGCACUCUAAGUUGACUGCCGGUGACAAACCGGAGGAAGGUGGGGAUGACGUCAAAUCAUCAUGCCCCUUAUGAUUUGGGCUACACACGUGCUACAAUGGACAAUACAAAGGGCAGCGAAACCGCGAGGUCAAGCAAAUCCCAUAAAGUUGUUCUCAGUUCGGAUUGUAGUCUGCAACUCGACUACAUGAAGCUGGAAUCGCUAGUAAUCGUAGAUCAGCAUGCUACGGUGAAUACGUUCCCGGGUCU
rnacentral:rRNA from 1 species